GAGAGAAUUGAAGUUUUAAAAAAGGGAAAUAACAUAGGAUUAUAUUAUAGUAUUAUGUUAUAAUGAAAUUAGUUUUACUUUAAAGGCUUCCUGAAAAGGUAUUGGAGACUUCUGGGAGUUGAGAUGGGGGGCGGUCCCUGGACCACCCAUUGAGAACCACUGAACACAAGGAAAUGGAUUAUUCAUAGUUCAAAGAUACAAAUGAAGAGCUUUCCUUUUCGCUUCAAAUUUUCACUUGCUAAUAUGCGACUGCAUGUUUGAGUGUGAUGACUUUUUGGUGCAAAUAUUCUGCUGUCAAGAUACCCAGCUUAAAACAGCUUUGCCAUAGAAGAACUUUAAGAUUGCUAUCUUCUCAUUUAUCCUCACACGGUGGAAAGCAAAGAGAGACAAAGGAAGCAAGCUCUAUAGAGUUUCUUCUUAUAAGGGGUCUAGCUAUAUUGCUAAGGCUGGAUUUGAACUCCUGGGCUCAAGUGAUCCUCCCACCUCAUCCUCCCAAGUAGCUGGAGCUACAGACAUGCACCACCAUGCCCAGCAACCUCACUUUCUAUUUGGAAAACCAAGACAAAAAGAGAAAUAUGAUGGACUGUUUUUAGGGCAUUUAAAAUGCUAAAGAAUGAACAAAACUGCAGUGUCACAGAACUUCCAUGAAGACAAUAGAAGGAUGAAUAGUAAAGUGUGCUAAUCCCACCUAAAGUUAGUAGGGCCCAAAACCAAGAGAAGCAAUGAUAAUAAAAUAAAGUAACAUGUUUCAAAAGUGAUAA